ACUGAUAUAUUAAAUGGCAAUCUGCCACUGUGAGGCCUUGAGAAUCGCAAUUCAGAAAAUUUAAAGUAUAUACUGCUUUGUGUAAUAUAUCUGAGAAGGACAUACCAGGUGUAUUCUCCCUUUUUCAUUUUUUAAUCUGAGAUUUUAAUGUAGAGUGAGUACAUUCUAUAAUGGUUUGUCUGGUGGGAUUGUGAGGGAUACCUGUAGUAUGCUGUAAUUCCCAGUUUUGACAGAAAAGUUUGAAUUUGGAGGAGAUGUAUCAGUUUGUCAGAUUUGAUUGGGCUUUAGGCCACAGGGAUUAACUCCCCAAGACUUUUGUCCUCCAGAUGAUGAUUGACAACAUGGACAGGCUGAAAUGAUUUGUUUUGCUUGAGGUAGUUAACUGGAAUUGUUUAACAAGAGACUUAUAAAAAAUUUUGUAACCAACAAAGCGAUCUGCACUGGCAUUACCAGUGGUUAAGGGACCAGGUAAAUUUGUAUGAGAUCUAACAUGUGUAACAAAGAGAGAGUGUUGUCAUUUGUCUGUAAGAGACUGCAAAGUAAGGGAAAGGAGGGAAAAAUCAGUUAAUUCUUUGAUGGAGGCUUGUUCUAAACUACGUCUUGUGAAUCAGCGACCAGGUUAGCAGGCUGGUGAGAGAAAUGGUGGAGUGCCGUAAUGGCAGCCUUAAGUUCUGCUCCUUGUGUAGAGGCUUGUCCUAUAGAACUUACCUUGUGCCAUUUUUGGUCAAACCAAACCAUGGCAGAUUGUUUUUUCAGAGCCGUCAGUGAAGACGGUAAUAGCGCCAUGAAGAGGUGUAGACACAACCUUUUGAGGUAUAGUGACAUUAAUAAGGGCUACUUGUUGCAGUUAUUUAUCAGAGAGUAGUGAAUAUAUAUAUUGUCCUGUAAAGUCAGCUAUCGUGGCCUCAAAGUCUAGAGAUUGUGCAAAUAACUAUUGGAGGCCCUCUAGAGAGACUCCUUGGUAAAUUAUAUCUGGGUUGUAACCAGUUAAUUGUUGACAGCAGUAUCGGCCUUUAUAUAGUAGAUCAAUAAGUGGUAUGAAGUAAGAGUUUUUUUUUAAGGGACUGAGAUAGAAAUAUCCAUUCUGAACACUGAAUACCAUCCAUUAAUUGUCUUAAUAACCCUGUUUGGGUACGGAAGGUAGGAAAUGGAAAUAGGUAGGAGAGCCUGGUUGCCUUCUGUGCAACUGCCGCUGUCGGAUGGCCUCUUCACUGAGAGCUGUUUGCUUUUUAGCUUCCGAAGUCAAGCUUUGGGGAGAAUCUAAGGCAUUAGCUCCCUUGAGGAUAUUGAAUAAAUUGGAAAGUUGUCCCAUAGUAAUUGCCAAGAUAGGGUGGAUCCAAUGAAUGGCCCCUAAAAUUUUGAGAAUCUAAUGUAUGUAAGUGUGGAGUGUCCAAGAUAAUAGGCUGAGACCGAAUAGUUCAGCUGAAGACUAUUUGGCCUAAAUAUCGCCCGGGUGUUUGUUUGAAUCUGAAUCUUUCCUGGAGCCACUUUUUUGAAGUCCUUGUUCUCAGAGAGAGAUCUGCCAAUGUUGAUAGACAGACAGGAGGGAGUAGCCUUACAGGUGGGUAGUAAAGCUUGAUGUACAAAAUACUGACAAAUUGUGGGACUAUUAAUCAUUCCCUGUGAUAAAACCCACCAUUGAUAAUGAGCUAGGGGGCCCGAUUGUUAGAUUAAGGUAGAACGCAAAGCAUUCACGGUCUUGUUCAGCUAAAGGCAUAAUAAAGAAGCAAUCUUUGAGCUCGGCAACAGUAACAGGCCAGUCUGCAGGAAUUAAAGCAGGGUCAGGAAGACCAAGUUGUGAUGCCCCCACUGGCUGACGAAUAGCGUUAAUAGCCCGAAGGUCAUGCAGUAAUUGCCGUUUUCCUGACCUUUUAGGAACGGUAAAAACAGGAGUGUUCCAGGGGCUCAUAGAGGGCUCGGUAUGUCCAGCUUCUAAUUGUUGCUGAACUAGUGAGAUAGCUUGAAUAAGUUUUUCCUCUUUGAGGGGCCACCUUUAAAGCAGGUGUGAGAGUUUAGUGAGGGUUUUAUUAAAGCCGCUAGUAUUUGUGUGUUUUUGUGCCCUCAUUUUGACAAGCUUUGAUGAAUUUAGCAAUGUCUGGAGCUUGAGUCUGUAUACAGGAUAGAGCGGCUGGGCAAUCGGCAUUAGCAUUUUCAUAAGCCAUUUGUUGAAGUAAAUCCGGGGCUGCUUCCUCAUUAUCUAUCUGUCUGGAAAUGCUUUGUUGUAGGCGAUUAACAAAAUCUGCAUAGGGCUCGGUGGCUCCCUGUCUCAUAGUGGCAAAGGAGCCAGUUUUUUCUUUAGUAUCGGGCACUCGAGACCAGGCUGCAAUAGUGGAGCAUUGUGGAAAAACUCUGCAAUCUACCUGUGUUUGGCGUUGGAUCAUUGCAUACUGUCCAAUGCCUUGAAGCGUUUCAGCCCUGAGAGGAAUGCCCAGAUCAAAAUUACAUGUGGAUUGCGCAAUGCAGCAUGUUGUGCAGGGGUGAGCAGUUUUAACUAAGGCUUUCCAAUCCCAUGGAGUCACGCACGGUAUAUCCAAUUCCUAUAGCCUCAAUUAUGCCUUUAGUAAGAGAGCUGUGUAUGCCGUUCUCAGCAAUACUUCGUCUUAACUCCUUGCACACAGCAAAAGGGUGGGCUUCAUGUCUAGGCAGCUGCCCAGGAAUAGCAAUAACCGGGAAAGCAUGAGGCCCAUUGUUGCAUGACAGACGGUUUCUCCAUUUCUGUAUUUUUUACUAAUUUAGUGGGAGGAGGCGGAAAAGGAAGAUCAUUUUCUACAAAUGGUGGGGCAGAGGGCAGGGCAGGGCAGGAGCAGGAAGGGGAAACAUAGAGGCUGUAGGACCUAAACUCCAGGUUACUAAUAUGUAGGUGGGAACCUUUUCCCCCAGUCAUGUUUUCUCUUUAGAGUUCUUCCAACUUGUUCCCAUAAUUCUAAAUCUUGGUCUGGAAACCAGGGACAAAUUUCAUGCACAGUUUGAAGCAGUUUAACCAGUUGGUCUUCAGACACCGUGCAAUGGGCUGCUUUUAAAAGCUGUUGUAAGGUCCUAAGAUAAAGGAGUUGUUCUCUAGUCAUUUGUUGGCCCAUAUGUAAAAGAGAAAGAGAGCUCUCCCUGAGUACCAGACAUGUUGGCAGCUAUCCCAAGAGAGGCGCUGCUGUCCCUUACCGGGAUGAAGUUUUUUUGAAGUCCAUACGAUUUUCUCUUCUCUUCCUCCUGAAACGUGUGGAUUCUGCGGCUGAAGACCGUCACAUCAGGGUCACCACUUCACGGUGGGAGAAAGGAUUAUUCAAGUCAAGACAGGGAGCCAGAGACCCACUCCCCGGGACCCCCUUAGACUCUCAAAUUUACUGAGCACGCUCUUCAAACAAUCAGAGUGACACUCGUCUUUGGAAUUUGAACAGAGCAAAGUUCUUUUGCAGGUUGAUAGCUCUCCAAGUUCGCAUAUGCCCUGUGGAGCAAAAACUCAAGUGAAUUAUAAAAUACAGGGAUGCAGUUUAAAGCCCAGAGGCCAAGUGAAGGCAACUGAAGCAGCCAACUAAAUGAAAUGAAUGCUGUAAGAGAGGUUAAAAAAAUCAUUAAAUGAAUAUUACAACUUUUGUGGGGAGUUUAUCAGAGGAAAAAGAAUACAUGCCUACAAAAUACAUGAAAUGGUUAAAUCAAAUAGGCUGUAAUUAUGUAAGUAAAAAUAAUUGAAAACAAAAUCUUGAAAAUGAAAAAUAGUCAUUAUAAUAAAAAUUUAAAAGAAAUCCCAAUUUAUAUAAUAAACUUUAUAUUAGACUAGUCAAAGUGAGCAUGAACAAAUAGAAUGCUAAUUAAUGAGGAAUUAAUAUGUAAAGUGGAGAAACAGAUAACUGAAAAAUCAUGAGAACAGUUGUAAAACUUGGAAGGUAAGUUGGUAGGUUCAGCAACACUAUAGCUAGUAGAGGGUAACUAACAUGGGAAGAGAGGGAAGGACAGAAAAGUAACAUUCAAAGAGACAAUGAUGAACUUUACUAGAAAUGAGGAAAGAAAAUGCAUUCUGAGUGCUGGAAAGAAUGAAGUUAAGUCAGCCAUCAAAGUAAAAUUUCAGAGAUUUAU